GGGGAAUAUUGCACAAUGGGGGAAACCCUGAUGCAGCAACGCCGCGUGAGUGAUGACGGUCUUCGGAUUGUAAAGCUCUGUCUUCAGGGACGAUAAUGACGGUACCAGAGGAGGAAGCCACGGCUAACUACGUGCCAGCAGCCGCGGUAAUACGUAGGUGGCAAGCGUUGUCCGGAUUUACUGGGCGUAAAGGAUGUGUAGGCGGAUAUUUAAGUGAGAUGUGAAAUCCCCGGGCUUAACUUGGGGGCUGCAUUUCAAACUGGAUGUCUAGAGUGCAGGAGAGGAAAGCAGAAUUCCUAGUGUAGCGGUGAAAUGCGUAGAGAUUAGGAAGAAUACCAGUGGCGAAGGCGGCUUUCUGGACUGUAACUGACGCUGAGGCAUGAAAGCGUGGGGAGCAAAC
rnacentral:rRNA from 1 species